AGCUUUGCGCAGCGGCAGUAUCGUAGCCAAUGAGGUUUAUCCGAGGCGCGAUUAUUGCUAAUUGAAAAAUAUGACCAAUGUGUGCUUUUGGAAGGGAGGGGUAUUUACCUGAGAGAUGAAACUAUGAAAGAGUCAAAUAAAAAUGCCU